rnacentral:ncRNA from 1 species
UUCGUAACGAAGAGAGUAUCUAUAAUGAGUCACAGAGAAAUUCACCCCGGGCUGAAAGUGAAUACUUCAAAUGAUACUUGCCGACACUUCGUAUAAGAAGCUGUAUAUACAGCGGUCACAGCCGUUAUCUGUAAUAGAGAGUACAUAUUUAUUUGUGCUGAACCUAGGGUGGCAACACGACCAUUUCGUCCCUUAU